AGAACUGAUGCAUUUGUGGUGCAAUCACACUUAGAUUGAGAGGUGCUGUACCAAUGCCGAGCGCUGUGUCAACGAGUAUAUCCGGAAAAGUAGGUCCCUGGCACAACGUAAGGGAAUUCUGUGAUCUCUUGCAGUGUGCUAAGUAUCAAGCAGUUGACACAGUUUGUUUUUUUUGGGCUGAUUAGUCAACCUAAUACAUGAAGCUGGAAGAUGAUGCGGGGAUUGCUGAUAGGGUUCUUUCAUACGAAAAUCUGGUGCAUGCAGUUGCUGGAGCUGCGGGUAGUGUGACAGCCAUGACGUUCUUUUACCCGCUAGAUACAGCAAGACUGCGACUGCAAGUUGACGACAAACAAAAGGCCAGAGCACCAUUAAUCUUAGCAGGAAUCAUAAAAGAAGAAGGACUGUG